GACGAACGCUGGCGGCGUGCUUAACACAUGCAAGUCGUACGGUAAGGCCCUUUCGGGGGUACACGAGUGGCGAACGGGUGAGUAACACGUGAGUAACCUGCCCACAACUUUGGGAUAACGCUAGGAAACUGGUGCUAAUACUGGAUAUGUGCUCCUGCCGCAUGGUGGGGGGUGGAAAGCUCCGGCGGUUGUGGAUGGACUCGCGGCCUAUCAGCUUGUUGGUGGGGUAGUGGCCUACCAAGGCGGCGACGGGUAGCCGGCCUGAGAGGGUGACCGGCCACAUUGGGACUGAGAUACGGCCCAGACUCCUACGGGAGGCAGCAGUGGGGAAUAUUGCACAAUGGGCGCAAGCCUGAUGCAGCAACGCCGCGUGCGGGAUGACGGCCUUCGGGUUGUAAACCGCUUUCAGCAGGGACGAAGCUUUUUGUGACGGUACCUGCAGAAGAAGCACCGGCUAACUACGUG
rnacentral:rRNA from 1 species